GUGGGGAAUAUUGGACAAUGGGCGAAAGCCUGAUCCAGCCAUGCCGCGUGUGUGAAGAAGGUCUUCGGAUUGUAAAGCACUUUAAGUUGGGAGGAAGGGCAGUAAGUUAAUACCUUGCUGUUUUGACGUUACCAACAGAAUAAGCACCGGCUAACUUCGUGCCAGCAGCCGCGGUAAUACGAAGGGUGCAAGCGUUAAUCGGAAUUACUGGGCGUCAAGCGCGCGUAGGUGGUUCAGCAAGUUGAAGGUGAAAUCCCCGGGCUCAACCUGGGAACUGCCUCCAAAACUGCAUGACUAGAGUACGGUAGAGGGUAGUGGAAUUUCCUGUGUAGCGGUGAAAUGCGUAGAUAUAGGAAGGAACACCAGUGGCGAGGGCGACUACCUGGACUGAUACUGACACUGAGGUGCGAAAGCGUGGGGAGCAAACAGGAUUAGAAACCCUUGUAGUCC
rnacentral:rRNA from 1 species